GGCAGCGUGUUCUGGGGGGACAAGUUAGCUCUAGCUGUUACUGAUUAAUGGAAAGUGUUGAGUGUUGCAAGCUACCCCAGUCCAAGUUAUUCUUGAGUGUUACAAGGUAAGCUUGCUCUUUCUAAGGGUACUUUUUUUUUUCCAGAAUAGCCUGGAAGUACAGCAAGGACACCUCACUGCUGUGCAAAUUCUCCCCAUGCUUCUGUAUGCCUGCUCUGUCUGCUGUGCUUGCUUGAAGGGAAGUAGGGACUGCAGGCUAGAAAAAGCUAUGGAAGCAAAGGUCCUUCAAGAAUGCCGAAAAGAUGCAGUAUGUGAAUACUGUACAGAAAGUAAGCAAAGCAGUUUUCAUGAACUGUAGCAGCAGCGACAACGUGAGUUUCCUAGGUCGCCCUGCUGAGACGGAAAGAAAGGGAUGUGGCCAUGUACGCUGCCUCAGAGCAGCCCCCACGCCACUGCGUGCUCCCCUGGCCUCCGGGGCACACGUAUCAUGGGAACAAAAAGACAGAGAAGGACAACCGGCACUCCUGCAAACAAAGAGCAAUCAAAAGGUGGAAGCAGGAGCACAGUGGAAAGCGGACCGUCUUUGAGGCAGAACUAGGGGGGGGCUAGGAGGAGAAAGCGUAGCAAAGCCGAGUGUGAGAGUCUCAACAGGGAGAGGCAGCGUAUCCAGUGCGGAUGUGGGGGAGAGCACAAACAUCCUGCACAGGAAAGCAGCAGAACGGGGCACAGUGGCUGUGGAAGGAGGAAGGAAGGGAAAUUCCCAGUUAGGGCGCUGGGCGGAGAAGGCUGUCAGUUGUGAGAGCAGGAGAGGGCUUCACAGGAUGUCACGGGAGAGGGUAUGAACAAAAUUACCACCUACCGAGAAGGUCAGAGAGCAUGAGAACGUAGUGCUGAUCAGAUGGAGGUUUGGUUUACACACGCAGAUCUGAGCAAUUUCCGUGAAGCUGCAAGAGUAAACAGAUUUUCAAAUCAGAUUGUUACAACCCCGUAUUGUUUGACGUGUAACAGGGCUCAGUUUCACUGCCAGUGAUUCCAGUAAUCCAGCAACUUCUGUUUGAGCUGAAACAUGUACACAGACAUCCAUCCAUGCCAAAACAGUUCAGGUCAUAGCAGCCCCGCUUUGUUCUUCACUCAUUGCUUACUCUUUGCUUGUGACCUCUGCAGUUACAGCGGGAAGUGCGCCCAUUUAAUGUACGGCUGUACCCUGGAUGGCAACGAAAAGGAGCUGGAAAGGGGCGAGUUAAGGAGGGUGUACGUGGAGAGGAGGAUCUGCAGUUUGGGUGAGUUUGAGAUGUGAACUUUCACAGGACGAGAAGAAAAAAAAAAAAAAGGAAAAAUAGAAAGGAAGUUUCAUGGAGAGCAAAGUAGAUCAAGAGAGCUUGUUCUGAAUAGGAAGGUGGUAAAAAGACAACAUAGUACUUCGUGUUCUUGUUCUAGAAGUUGACAGUGUUCCUGCAAACAGCUGCAGCUGUUAUCGUUGAGUACUUUUGGCAACACUAGAACUGUUCAGACCAGAGAACCUCCUAAAAAGUUUGUGGGAAAGGAAGGUGAGAAGAACAUGCCCACCAUUGCAGCCUCAGAGAACACAGAAAUGGUCAAGAGGAAAAAGCUAAUCUGCAAACAACCCCUUACACACACACAGACACUUUCAGUCUCAGACAUCAGCUAAAACAAUCUCACUUUGUGCUGGCCUUAAUGCUAACUCUGCUUCCUGCACUGAUUUCCUGUAUAGGAGCAGGGAGCUUAACUUCACUGUGAAGGAGCCAGAAAUCUUAAGACACUGAAUAAACUAAGUUUAGGAACCCAAGUAUUUGAGAUAACAGAAUUUUGGCCCAUUUUUCUGGUAUUAGCCAUUACCUUUAACAGUUUUUUGUGGUCUGCUAAUGCAUGCAGCAUGUGACUCACAGUCUCUGAGUUGAUGGCAGAGGUGCUUUACAGCGCUCCCCGCUGUGCUCAGUUUGUGCCACGUUUACCUUGUUCACCUGCUCCUGGCUUCUUCCCCUCCCAUUAGUUACUGAGGAAACAGUCACUGUUGCGGGCAGUUUAUAGAUAUCUGCAAGUGCAGCACAAAGCCAAUUCGGCAAGCGAUUUGCAAAAUGCAACAGGUGGUUUUUACACAUUGCAAACCAUGGGAUAUACCCAUUCACCACGUCUUUCGAACUAUGUCUGGCAUAACCACCCAUCAAUUUACUUCACAUCAACGCUACUAAGCAAAUCAAGUAGGUAGGUAAACUCCAUAGUGACUCUACGGAGAAAACCUUUUUAUGCAGUUAAAACUAUUUUUUUGAUCUUAUCAACUUAUCUUUGCUAAGAAAGCAGCAAAGAUCUACUUACCCCAGUGGCUGUGCAACAUUCCAUGCAGCACUGAAGCUUGAUCCCAUCAGUUCAGCCUCUCUCCAAAAUGAGAUUUUUAUUUUCAAACCUGUCAAUCUCGCUGCCUUUUCUCUGGGAGGAUUCUCACCCAUUCUCCACCCAUUUCAACCACAUUUUUGCAGUAUAAUGUCUUUGUCAUAUACUUACGGAUUCACCAGCAAAGGUGGGAGAGGAACAGGUGGCCACAAAGAACUUUAAUAGUCACAGGUGGAAGUAACCGUUAGCCUCUGUUCAGCUGCUCAUUCAGAUCCCAGCUGAGGUAAGAAUUUACAUCUUCAGCCUCGGAGCCCCAGGUGGGGAUCGCUCCUUAAGUCCCGCAGGGAGGAAGGGGCAGCCUGCAGUUCCCCACGGGGCGAAAGCUCAGACCUCCAGAAGCACUCGGGUGCUAUCCGCUGAGCAGUUCGGGACAGCAAAGCACCUGGGUACGGUUAAGAGGUGGAGCAGGAAGCCAGGACAGACACAGUAACUGCUUUCUGUCAGUAGCUGGAGAAACAGAUUAAUUCCAUUCAGCUCCACUACAAAGAGGACCCCAGCACAAAGAGCGUGCUGUGAUGACAGCCCAUGGACCAUGCCCUAACAACUGCGCUUUGUGUGGGGAAAAAUAAGUGGGGGGAAGAGAAUCUGACCUGCCAGUCUGCAGCAGGAAUGCACGUUUCAGUGACCUCAAGACAUUGCACAGAUGUUUCACGUACUGCACCGAAACUCAAAGAAGAAAUAUUUAUACUUGAGAUUAAAAUUGACUCAUUUGCACAUUCUAAACUUUAAAGAAGUACAGCAGUCUAGUUCUGUGCUAUACGCAGCUUAAGUUCAUUUGCUGCAUGUAACUGGGUAUGAUUCGAGAAUCAGCUGCCAAGCACAGUAAUGUUAACCCCAACAUAUUUCUUUGCAACUUCAAAUAAAGUCAAACCAGUUCAACAAAGAACUUUUGGAGCCCCAAAUCACCUUUGUGUCUCUUAAGAUACUGUCUUAAGGCUGUCUAUUAAGAAAACUCCUAUGCAACUCCUUUUUUUAUCUAUCAGACUUUGUCACCCUCAGAGCAGUAAGCGGGAUACUUACUGUCCCCUUAUGGCCAAACAACAAGCUAGCUAAUGGCUGCAUCUAACAAUGCAGAAAACUAAACAUUUGGAUAGUUUGAAUAAUUUGAAAAGUUUAUGUACAAUUUAGCUCUUCAGACAAACCUGAAGAGCCGGAAUGCUGUUCAACUGCCUAACAAAAUUUAUUGUUAUUAAAUAAAAACAGACAUUUUGGUGUGUGUGUGUUUUGUUGUUUUUUUAAAAUGUAAUUAUUUUGC